rnacentral:rRNA from 1 species
CCUACGGGAGGCAGCAGUAAGGAAUAUUGGUCAAUGGACGGAAGUCUGAACCAGCCAUGCCGCGUGCAGGAAGACGGCCCUACGGGUUGUAAACUGCUUUUGCAGGGGAAUAAACCCAGAUACGUGUAUCUGGCUGAAUGUACUCUGAGAAUAAGGAUCGGCUAACUCCGUGCCAGCAGCCGCGGUAAU